UACGUAGGGAGCAAGCGUUGUCCGGAAUCAUUGGGCGUAAAGCGCGCGUAGGUGGCCACAUAAGUCCGUUGUGAAAGUCAAAGGCUCAACCUUUGAAAGCCGAUGGAUACUGUGUGGCUAGAGUACGGAAGAGGCGAGUGGAAUUCCUGGUGUAGCGGUGGAAUGCGCAGAUAUCAGGAGGAACACCAAUAGCGAAGGCAGCUCGCUGGGACGGUACUGACACUGAGACGCGAAAGCGUGGGGAGCGAACAGG
rnacentral:rRNA from 1 species